UGUCUGUGGGAAUCAUCAUCAUGUUAGCGAUGCGCGUGGCUCAAAUCCUCCUGUUGACGGUCAUUACUGUUCUUCUCUUUAAAGCUCGAGGAAACAAGAGACCACCUGCUGACCUGACUGUGCAUUACGAUGGAAAUGGACGUGGCGGCUCAGUGAAGUACGAAAACGUUGGAGAACCUUCUGUUUCUGUCCCUCACCCCAACACCUCCUUCACCCACCUGGCUACGGCCGUAACAUAAUAAAAUAUGCUUCAUUAAUCCGUCACAGCAGCAUAGAAGACAUUGCACAUUAAUUAGAGGUAAAUAGAAAUUAAAAAAACAUUAAAAUAUGCAAAACAGUGAAUAUAUACGUAUCAAUAAUGAAGGAUAUAUUCAUUCGUUCAGAUAAUCAAUAUUUACAAAAGUGUAUUUUCCUAUUUAGACAUAUUUAAAAUAAAUAACUCAACAUAUUUUGGGUAGGGUCACGUUCAAAUUUAAACCAAUUAAAUAAGAUAAAUAUGAAUGUAUCCCUGUAGGGCAAUACACAGAAUAAUAAAAAUAAAACCUUCAAAUUAAAAUUACAACAACAAUAGGAAAAGGUAAAACACAGAGAUGUAAACAUUUUGAAAUUAAGAAAAAUAUCAGAUUUUUUUAGAUUUUCUGAAAAAAGACAGGAGGUUGCGAUUUCCAGAUAAAAGUGAAAAUGUUGAAAUUUUAUGAAAAAAGUCAGAUUUUUGAGAUUUUCUGAUGAAAGUCAAAUUCUAACAUUUUCAGAAACAUUUAGAAAUGUUUGGAAAAAAGUGUGAUUUUCAGAAAAAAGUAUAAACUCCCUAGAAACUACAGAAAACAACUUCUAAAAACGUUUUUACGAACACAUCAAUAUGAAUGUAUUUCCGCAAGUUUUCGAGAUUGGUUUUAGAUUUGUAAGUUGCUUAGGUUGCUGGUAAAUACUGUAUGUUUUGCUAAUGUUGCAGGUUUGAAUGAGCUGUGCUUCUUAAAGGAGGUCAUUACAGUUAUAUUACAUUAUAAAUGAUGAUAUGAUCUUCUAAAAAUCUUCUAAAUCUAAUUAAUGCCCACAAUGUACAACAUUAUUUUGUAUUACGGCUGAUUUUUAUUCCAUAUUUUAUUCCUCUAUUUCACAUGUGUCAAACCCAAGG